rnacentral:rRNA from 1 species
UACGUAGGGGGCAAGCGUUGUCCGGAUUUAUUGGGCGUAAAGAGCGUGUAGGCGGCCAGACAGGUCCGUUGUGAAAACUCGAGGCUCAACCUCGAGACGCCGAUGGAAACCGUCUGGCUAGAGUCCGGAAGAGGAGAGUGGAAUUCCUGGUGUAGCGGUGAAAUGCGCAGAUAUCGGGAAGAACACCCGUGGCUAAGGCGGCUCUCUAGUACGGUACUGACGCUGAGACGCGAAAGCGUGGGGAGCGAACAGG